rnacentral:misc_RNA from 1 species
GAUGAAGAACGCAGCGAAUUGCGAUAAGUAAUGUGAAUUGCAGAUUUUCAGUGAAUCAUCGAAUCUUUGAACGCACAUUGCGCCCUUUGGUAUUCCGAAGGGCAUGCCUGUUCGAGCGUCAUUAUCACCCCUCAAGCCCUCGGCUUGGUGUUGGACGGUUUGGUGGAGGCCCCCUCGGGGGCUCCUGCCCCUCCCAAAGACAAUGACGGCGGCCUCGUUGGACCCCCGGUACACUGAGUUCUUCACGGGACACGUAUCGGACACAUGGGUUUACGGGACACGGUCUGCCUCCCCUCAGGGAGAAUCUUUCUAAGGUUGACCUCGGAUCAGGUAGGGAUACCCGCUGAACUUAAGCAUAUCAAUAAGCGGAGGA